GAGAGGAAGAACCGGAGCCUGGAGAUGGCUUCAGUGCCACCGAAGGUCGAAGAAGGCAUGAGUAGAUAGAGUGGGAGAUCUCAGGUCUCUGGUCGUACUUGUCAAACCGUAGUAAAUCUUAGUUUGGUUUAUAUUAUAAAUCCGAAUCAUAAAUGCAUGUAACUUUUUUUUUUUUACCGUUAUUUAAGAUUUGGCUAGAGUUCAAAGUCAAACUUACCAACACAUAGCCUUGAGUGGAAAUAACAUUGAUCAAGAUAUAAAUAUAUAGAUCUAAAGGCAUUCUUAAAUGUGUGGAACUAGAUUCCAGGUGCUGUAUUAGUGUUUUGUUUAUUCAGUGGAAACUAAUGCUAUGUUUAAAUAUAUUCAUUGUUGUUAGUGCAACUAAUAGUUUUUGGAGCAAAUAGAACAAUAAUCCAACAUUAGCAGGAUAAAAACUUCUUGGUUUCCCAGGGUCACAACCAUCUCUGUACAGAAUUUGAUUCCUCUAUAUACAGUUGCGCGUAGAAGGUAAAAUGUGAUUAACUUUAAUCAAAUAAAAGAUAUAUAAUAUUACAACAAAUCCAAAUUUCAUUCCGUUAUGACCAACCAAACAUGUUGGCAUUACCAGAGGAUUGCUUGGAAUUCUGAAUCUUGGUGAAAAAUUAAAGUUUGCCAUUGAAUUAAUCUCACUCUGGAUAAAAAUCAAGGUCCUUGGGAGGACCUUUUCGAAGUUUAUCUUGUAGAUCCAAUUGCUUUGGCACGACAAGUUCAGUUCCCUCCCCUGACAUGCAAAAAUAUCUCUCUAAUACCAUCUGCAACGAGAAAAAUGCCAGUAAACAAUAUAAGAAAACAGAAAAUUGAGAUAGUUUCUAGCGAGGACAAUAUUUUGCAUACAGCAGUAUCCUUCUCAUACGAAGACGUAAAAUAAUUUCAUUCCAUACCACAGCUGCAUAGGCAUCAACGCUCUUUUGCCGAGCACUCUUGCGAAGGCCCCUGAAAUAGUUCACACAAUUAUCUAUCCAUCAACGUUAUUUGCCUCCAUGCAACUGCAUAUUAUCUGACUGAUAAGCAGAAAACUUUUAUGCAUUGUCUGUAAUAUGGCAUCUUCAGAUAAUGCAACCACCUCUACUAACUAGUAUUUUGCCAGGGGAAGGAAAACCAUUGCUUAAUUGCAAAAAAUCAUGAGCACUCAAAUUCCUAUUCCACUAUUUUGCAUUUCAAUCCCCAAAAUCAAUUUAUCAAUUACAUCAACUCUUCUAUUCCAGCUGUUCUUUUAUCGCAGUACCUCAAACUUAAAGAAUCAGACAUGACGAAUAGGAUAUCAAAAGAAUUUCUUCAUCUGGUACAACUUCCGUGUUUAAAUUAAUUAAACUUAUUAAUUACUUAGCUUGAGUAAUUGAUUUUUUUUUUUUUUUUUUUGAGAUAAUCUUUUAGUAGUUAUGAGGUGUUGAUGGUGCAGCUUGUGGUGUGAAUGGAGCACUAUACACCUUAAUUGCAUGUGUGACUGGUUUCGCCUGUUGCUACUCAUGCUUCUAUAGAGGAAAACUGAGGCAGCAACACGCAUUGAAGGAGAGCCCUUGUGGGGAUUGUUUGGUUCAUUGCUGCUGCGAAUAUUGUGCCUUAUGCCAAGAAUAUCGUGAGCUUAAAACCCGUGGAUAUGACUUGUCUAUAGGUAAAAAGAUUUGGACUUUCUUUAUGGGUAUUAUUUCAACUAUUAUGGGUUCUUCUAAAUUUGAUAGGGUUCUUAUAAUUAAUUAUAUAUUUUGGGUCUUUGUUGUAGGAUGGCAUGGCAAUGUGGAGAGGAAGAACCGGAGCCUGGAGAUGGCUUCAGUGCCACCGAAGGUCGAAGAAGGCAUGAGUAGAUAGAGUGGGAGAUCUCAGGUCUCUGGUCGUACUUGUCAAACCGUAGUAAAUCUUAGUUUGGUUUAUAUUAUAAAUCCGAAUCAUAAAUGCAUGUAACUUUUUUUUUUUUACCGUUAUUUAAGAUUUGGCUAGAGUUCAAAGUCAAACUUACCAACACAUAGCCUUGAGUGGAAAUAACAUUGAUCAAGAUAUAAAUAUAUAGAUCUAAAGGCAUUCUUAAAUGUGUGGAACUAGAUUCCAGGUGCU
rnacentral:lncRNA from 1 species